UUCUCCUGGAGCUUCCUUUUGAGGUAUCUUUCCAUUGUUUGAGCUGCUAUUGUCUAGAUUCUUCAUUUUGGGGGUGUUGAGAUCAUAUCCUUUGGAUGUAUUGGAGUUUAGAGGCUAGAUCUAAGGUUGCUACCUCAGAUCUGGGAUGGAGAAGAGUUAGAAGGCAUGAAAGUCCCUGUGUUGAGUGUUGGAUGAAGCUAUCUUGUCCCAAACCUUAGCCCUAAUGUGCAAAAUGCAUAGAUCUCUUUGGAUUCACGUAAAGUUUGCCACUUUACGUCAUGGAUGAAUUAUAGGAGGCUAGAUCUAUGUUUUGGAGCAAUUGCAUGGCCUGGAGUGCUUCUGUAUGGAUUCAGUGAUCGGAGCAGUUCGGGUUAUCUGUUCAGUCGGCAUUUUCGAGGUGAGUUAUCCUCACUAUAUCAACAGGGUCUAAGGCACCAAGGCCGGCCCUUAUCGGAUUGAGAUCCGGGUAGUUGUUGUUAUGUUGUUGCUGUGAUAUGUUUGCAUCCUGAGAGCUAGGAUGGUAUAUGUUAGAGACCUGAUUGAGAUCGGUAUCCUGAGAGAUAGGGAGAUGCUAUGCUAGUGACCUGUUAGGUCGGUAUCCUGGUUAGGAUGAUGAUAUGCUAUGUGAUCUGUUUGAUCUGCUUGUUGACUGUGAAUUGCUAUAUGAUUGUAUGUAUAUGUGCACAUGGUUGUUUGGACUGGAGUUGGGUUGAGGCGGGUCCUGCUGCGUGCUGUAGGCCAAGAUACCCAGGGCGGACCGGUUGUCCCGAAGGCCCAGCGAGCGGUCCGGAUAGGCUGUAGGCCCCGAAAGGGCGGACCAGACGUGCCGAAGGCUCGGAGAGUGGACCAGAUAGACUGAAGGCCCGGUGCGGGCGGACCAGUCAUACUGUAGACUCAGAGAGUGGACCAGGUGGAUUGAAGGCCCGGGAGCGGGCGGACCAAUCACACUGCAGACUCGAUGUAUGUGGAUAGACUCAGAGGGUGGACCAGGUGGACUGUAGGCCGGUGCGGCGGACCAGUCACACAGUAGACCCGAAGUGCAUGGCUGUUCUGUGAUCGGAUAUGUUAUGGCAUGUUAUGCGUGUAUGGUAUUUGUGGUUGGUAUUUUGGGGAUAUCUCACUAAGCUUUCGGGCUUACAGUUGUGGUUUCAUGUUUUUCAGGUUCUUCAGGAGACUGUGGCAAGGCGAAGGCGUGAUCGUACCGCUCCUCAUGAUUUUGUAGUAUUGUGAUUCUGGGAACACGUUAAAUGUUUUGUAUUGAAAACCUUUUUGUAAAGAUUUAAUGGAAUCGAGAUGUUUUUGAAAAAUUUAAAAUUGGUUGUAUUUUUCGGUCGUUACAAGUUGGUAUCAGAGCCUUGGUUUGAGUGAAUUGGAGGAACAUUCGUGUGACUCCAGUCUCAAAUCGAGGAGAGUUUUCAAAAGAGUAUUUAAAAUGGUUUUCAAAAUGAGUAAGGGAGGACGCGGAGGUACGAUCAGCCGGAGCCAGUAAGUAACCCCAAAAUACCAUGCAUGUUAUUUGUUUUUGAGCUUUGAUAGAACAGCAUGCUAGUGAUAGGCUAGGGAUCUUCAGGAUUUCAUGAUAUGUUGCCUGAUUUGUGAUGCCUGUAGCCUAGGGUUCCUUAUGGGAUAUUUUCAGUGUUCCUCUAGUGGUGAGGGUUGAGCGUUGUUAUGCAUGUUUCUCUAGGGCAUUGUGGUAGUACUUCAUACAAAUAUGGGUAGGUGUGGAAGGUAGUAUGGGCCCGUACUACUGAAAGCACAGAACCCAUACAAGUAUCAGGGAAACCAUGAUCUCUAGGGUUGGGUUGAGAGAGAGUUGGAUCCCAGGUUGUGGGAAGAGUCUGAGAUUUUGUGUGGUGUUUUUCAGUAUGGAGAUUCCGAGGCAUGAUGAGAGUGGAUCCGGGUCAGGAUCGGGAGCUGGAGAGAGAGUUCCAGGCAGAUCGGUGCCGCCCGAGGUUAUCGUUCAGAUGAGCACGAGCAAGUUGGAUGCGAGGAUUCGUGAGAUCCUGCGUGAUGAGAUUGCUGAGUUGUUCCGGGCUGAGUUGCCAGAGCUGUUUGGGUCGAUNNNNNNNNNNNNNNNNNNNNNNNNNNNNNNNNNNNNNNNNNNNNNNNNNNNNNNNNNNNNNNNNNNNNNNNNNNNNNNNNNNNNNNNNNNNNNNNNNNNUAAUACGAAGCCUCCCACAUUCGAUGGAGUUCAGGACCCGAUUGUUGCUAUGAGGUGGUUAUCAGACGUGGAGGGGUGUUUCUUCACGUGUUCAUGCCCUGCUGAUCAGAGGGUGAGGUGUGCUCUGAACCUAUUGAGGCUCGGGGCGAAGGAUUGGUGGAGAUUGACCACGGGGUCAUAUUCGGAUGCGCAGAGGGUUGCGGUAUCAUGGGAUCAGUUCCGAGAGAUGUUCAUCACUCGUUAUGUUCCGCAAGUUGAGAGGGAGAGAUUGGCUCAGGAGUUCCUUGAGCUGAAGCAGGAUUCGGAGUCGGUGACUAAGAUCACCAGGAUGUUCAUUGAGAGGGCGAUGUUUUUCCCAGAGUUCGCUUCGGAGCAAGCUCAGAUGUCUCAAUAUCUGAGCAUGCUCAACAGGGACAUCAGGCAGUUUGUGUCUGCGCAGAGGUGCGGGACAUUGUUGGAGUUGCAGGAGGCCGCUAGGCGGCGUGAGUUAGAGAUUGAGUUGCAGUUGCGUGAGCUGAGGCAGGCUCCGGUGCAGGCACAGCCGGCANGCCGAAACGGUCCAAGACCAUUGAUGUUAGAGUGGGGGAUCUGAGCAGCCACACUUGUGGGAAGUGUGGGAGGGGUCACACCGGAGUUUGUAGGUCCGGUGGUGCAUGCCGCAAGUGCGGAAAGCAGGGGCACUAUGCGAGGGAUUGUCGGCAGGCAGCGCCAGUUCGGGAUUUGAGGAUUUUCUAUCAGUGUCAUCAGGUUGGGCAUUUGAGGGUCAACUGUCCACAGCUUGUUGCAGGACCGGUGCAGGCUCCAGUACCGGCCACUUUUAGGAUCACAGGUGGAGGUCAGGGUGGAGCAAAGCCCCCAAGGGCUCAGGGUCGUGCUUAUCAGCUUACGGCAGAGGAGGUCAGAUCAGUGCCGGAUGCAGCUGCCGGUAUGUUUCUUUCUUGAUAUAUUUUGUUAUCUUGUGAAUAUUGUGGUGUAAUGUUUAUGAGCUGGUAUUUUGUUUGGUUUUCGAUGUGGUAUUCGCCUUUUUGCGGGUUGUGGUUUUGGUUAUGGGUUAUUGUUUUGGGAAUUCUGUCGGUUAUCAUUCAUGAAGAUUAUCAGUGGAAACCCGACAUGAGGUUGCAGGCCGGGUAGCAUCUACAUUCUGAGGAGCGGUUAGAUGCAGAUUGAGUUCUUUCGAGCAGGUUGAUCAGUGUUGAUGUGAGAUCUCGUUGAGGUUGUUUAUGCUUGUGGGAAGCAGUCCGCGUGUAAGUGUUUUCUUUGUGCAAGAGUUGUCCUGGGAAGUCGGUGAUGGCCACCGGUGGUUGUUAGUUAGUGCCCAAGUGGGGGAGAAUUGGAGAAUUCUCCGGGAGAUUGUCGAGCAUUUGAGAGUGCUUAGCUGUGGGGAUUCAGCAAGUGUUCUGUCAGCCCAGAGUAUAGGUUGAUAGGAGUGAGUAUCGAGCAGGCGGGGCGGGAUACAGACCUAGAGCAUUGAUUUUGGAGGGCCUGGGAGCAGGCCGGGAUCAAGUAUGUAUGAUGGAGUUAAAGAUCGGAACCCCUCGAGGGCUAGAACGGUAUGCAUGGGAGAUUUUCCGGGAGGAUAGCCCAGAAUGUUGAAUGCUUGUUGAGCGGUCCAGAUAGACUGAAGGCCGAUAGGCGUACCAGUCUGGCCGAAGGCUCGGAGAACGGUCCAGUCAAACUGAAGGCACUGAGAGCGGUCCAGAUUUGGCUGAAGGUUCUGAGAGAGUGGUCCAGAUGGGCUGAAGGCCUGGUGAGGCGGUCCAGUCAUGCUGAAGACUCUGCAGGUAUCGUUGGAUCAGUUUGAGGAUAUGGAUUGUGUUCAUUGCAGUGCGUUUGCAUUAGAAGGUCUGGAGUGCAUGGGCUUGAGAGUCCCUGCGAUGAGAGUCAGAGUAUAUGUGUUGGAUGGAUAGCGGAUACGUUGAAAGGGUGGUGUAGCGUUGGGCGAGCACCGUGGCACUUGUUGGAGUGGCAAUAUGGCCAAGUGGAUUCCUUGGAAAAGGAAGUGAGAGAGGUGUGUAACUCCGAAAGGGAGUGCAAGUUCACGGAAGUGAAAGCAGUAGAGCAGAGUUAUGAUUAGAGUAACUCGAGUAUAGUUUCUAAGCAGCGUGUUUGCGGCAGUGGAAUUGAAGCACAUCCGGUUUGGGAUGUCUGCUGAGGUCGCGGAGGGAAUUCCGCAGGUGUAGAGCUAAGAGGCUCGGAAGGGAUACGGCGGGAGUCUUGGGCUCUCAGUGUGAUUCUGAUCAGGGUAUUGGAUAUGUAUUAGUGGUUCAUCCUGGGGGAUGUUGGAGGAUAUCAUCAGUGUAUCAGGUUUUUCCCAACCUGAGGGUGCUGGGGAAAGUUCAGUAUGUGUAUGUGAUUGCAAGAGGAGAACUCGUGGGAGUUGCUCUGAGAUUGAGAAUGGGUCUUUCCGUCGUCGCGGAAUGGAUAGAGUGGGAUUCGGAUCGGGGAUCCGAUGGUUCAUGGCUUUCUAGCCCUUAUGGGUCGAGCGAUUUUUGAGAUUUGGAGCAGUAACGCAUCUCGGGUAGUUCUCGAUUGUUGAGUGUGAUUAUCAGAGGGUACAGCCGGUGCCCGGCUCGAGACGGUGGUCAGGACACCGUAAGGAAAGAGAAAGUGUGUUUGAGUUUCGAUGAGUAUGCCCUGAGGGACUUGGCCCGGUUAAGGCCAGGCGGCACGUUGUGGAAGUAUCAUUGGGAUUGAAUUGCUGUAGGCUUCAAGGACAAAGCCUAAUUUAAGUGGGGGAGAAUUGUAUCAUCCUGAAAUAUCAAGAGUAGAGUGGAAGGGCUAAAAGAGUAAAUUGGGAAAGAGUGACUCGGCGAGUCCAUGGGUGGACUCGGCGAGUAGAGUCGCGACUGGGUCGUGUGUUAAGUAGCCGACUCGGCGAGUCAGUAAGAUGGACUCGGCGAGUAGGCGCUGAGUGGAGAAAACCCUAAUUCCCGGGGUUGAGCCCUAUAUAAACAUCAUUAUGUUUUCCUCCCAGCCUCUUUGUUCCCCCUUGAGUCCCAGAAACCCUAAAAUCGUGGAGAAGCACCAUUGUUGAGCAAAUUGGAGCUUGAAGAGGUGGUUGUUGAAGAGAUUCCAAAGAAGAAGAGGCUUGGAUCAAAGGGCUUUGCAAGGAUUCGGGAUACUCUUCUUCUGGAGCUUCCUUUUGAGGUAUCUUUCCAUUGUUUGAGCUGCUAUUGUCUAGAUUCUUCAUUUUGGGGGUGUUGAGAUCAUAUCCUUUGGAUGUAUUGGAGUUUAGAGGCUAGAUCUGAGGUUGCUACCUCAGAUCUGGUAUGGAGAAGAGUUAGAAGGCAUGAAAGUCCCUGUGUUGAGUGUUGGAUGAAGCUAUCUUGUCCCAAACCUUAGCCCUAAUGUGCAAAAUGCAUAGAUCUCUUUGGAUUCAUGUAAAGUUUGCCACUUUACGUGAUGGAUGAGUUGUAGGAGGCUAGAUCUAUGUUUUGG
rnacentral:lncRNA from 1 species